rnacentral:rRNA from 1 species
AUACGGAGGAUCCGAGCGUUAUCCGGAUUUAUUGGGUUUAAAGGGUGCGCAGGCGGCCCUUUAAGUCAGCGGUUAAAUCGUGGGGCUCAACCCCAUUCUGCCGUUGAUACUGGGUGGCUUGAUUGCGGUCGAGGUUGGCGGAAUUCGUUGUGGAGCGGUGAAAUGCAUAGAUAUGACGAAGAACACCGAUUGCGUAGGCAGCUGACCAGACCGCAAAUGACGCUCAUGCACGAAAGUGCGGGGAUCGAACAGGAUUAGAUACCCUGGUAGUCCGCACAGUAAACGAUGAAUACUUGUUUUCGGCGAUAUAAUGUCGGAGGCAAAGCGAAAGCGAUAAGUAUUCCACCUGGGGAGUACGCCGGCAACGGUGAAACUUAAAGGAAUUGACGGGG